rnacentral:rRNA from 1 species
UACAGAGGGUGCAAGCGUUAAUCAGAAUUACUGGGCGUAAAGCGCGCGUAGGUGGUUUGUUAAGUUGGAUGUGAAAGCCCCGGGCUCAACCUGGGAACUGCAUCCAAAACUGGCAAGCUAGAGUACGGUAGAGGGUGGUGGAAUUUCCUGUGUAGCGGUGAAAUGCGUAGAUAUAGGAAGGAACACCAGUGGCGAAGGCGACCACCUGGACUGAUACUGACACUGAGGUGCGAAAGCGUGGGGAGCAAACAGG